rnacentral:ncRNA from 1 species
AAUACACCGAAGAACAAGAAGAGUACCUUUUGGAAAAGGCUGGUACAGAGAGCCGCUGCUGCUGGAAUGCGGUCCUGCUGAAAAAGGGAAUGGACUUGUGAGGGCAAACUGAACGCAGAUGGUUCUCUGUCAGUAGGGGCGACGGGAUUGACCGUUAUAUCAAACGAAAGUGCGCCGGACUCCGGCGAAUUUAGGUGGCACCGCAGAGUAUGCUUCUGUCCUAAUG